rnacentral:rRNA from 1 species
UACGAAGGGUGCAAGCGUUACUCGGAAUUACUGGGCGUAAAGGGUGCGUAGGUGGUUGUUUAAGUCUGCUGUGAAAGCCCCGGGCUCAACCUGGGAAUGGCAGUGGAUACUGGACAGCUAGAGUGCGGUAGAGGGUAGUGGAAUUCCUGGUGUAGCGGUGAAAUGCGCAGAUAUCAGGAGGAACACCGGUGGCGAAGGCGGGUCUCUGGGCCGAUACUGACGCUGAGGAGCGAAAGCGUGGGGAGCGAACAGG